GAUGAGCGCUAGCUACAGGCUUAACACAUGCAAGCCGAGGGGAAACGAUAUUGGAAGCUUGCUUCCGAUAGGCGUCGACCGGCGCACGGGUGAGUAACGCGUAUCCAACCUGCCCAUCACUUGGGGAUAACCUUGCGAAAGUACGACUAAUACUCAAUGAUAUCGCUAGAAGAAAUCUGAAAGGGAUUAAAGAUUUAUCGGUGAUGGAUGGGGAUGCGUCUGAUUAGCUUGUUGGCGGGGUAACGGCCCACCAAGGCGACGAUCAGUAGGGGUUCUGAGAGGAAGGUCCCCCACAUUGGAACGGAGACACGGUCCAAACUCCUACGGGAGGCAGCAGUGAGGAAUAUUGGUCAAUGGGCGAGAGCCUGAACCAGCCAAGUAGCGUGCAGGAUGACGGCCCUAUGGGUUGUAAUCUGCUUUUAUAAGGGAAUAAAGUGGGAGUCGUGACUCCUUUUGCAUGUACCUUAUGAAUAAGGACCGGCUAAUUCCGUGCCAGCAGCCGCAGUAA
rnacentral:rRNA from 1 species